GAGAAGAAGAACUUUCUCUAUAAAUACUGGCAAAGGGUAUCGCAAAAGAAUUCACAAAGCAAAGUUUACAAUUGAAAGUGUUAGUGAAUCAGAUGAAGUGCAGGAGCACAGUAUUCCCAAAAAGCUAAAGACAUCCAGGGCAAAGAAAACAGAGGCUUGCUGCUCAGCCGGUCUUGCUUCAUUUAUAAAAGAGUGAUUAACCAAGGAGAGUCAGUCAGAUGAAGGUAGUGCACUUUGCAAUGAUAAAUGCAAGUAUAAAAAAGAAGCCUUGGAACUCAAAGAGAGGGUAAAAAUGCUGAAAAAUCAGAUGAAAAGACUUAAUAAGCAAAUUGACAAUGGCAAUGGUAAGCUCGAGGAAAAUUUACUUCAUUUGUAUUUUCAAAUCAAUGCUUUCCUUGCUUUUUAGUUUUGUCUUCCAAAAUGGAGAAAUUUGUAAAUUGCUUGUUCUAUACAGUAUAUUUUGGAUUUGAAAUUUA